rnacentral:rRNA from 1 species
UACAGAGGGUGCGAACGUUGUUCGGAUUUACUGGGCGUAAAGCGCGUGUAGGCGGUCUCGCAAGUCGGAUGUGAAAGCCCAGGGCUCAACCCUGGAAGUGCACUCGAUACUGCGAGGCUAGAGUCCCGGAGAGGAUGGUGGAACUCUCGGUGUAGAGGUGAAAUUCGUAGAUAUCGAGAAGAACACCGGUGGCGAAGGCGGCC